UACGUAGGGGGCAAGCGUUGUCCGGAAUCAUUGGGCGUAAAGAGCGUGUAGGCGGCCACCGCAAGUCGACUGUGAAAUCUCCGGGCUUAACCCGGAAAGGUCAGCCGAUACUGCGGGGCUAGAGUGCAGAAGGGGCAACUGGAAUUCUCGGUGUAGCGGUGAAAUGCGUAGAUAUUGGGAGGAACACCAGUGGCGAAGGCGGCUCACUGGACCGGAACUGACGCUGAGGCGCGAAAGCGUGGGGAGCAAACAGGG
rnacentral:rRNA from 1 species